rnacentral:ncRNA from 1 species
UAUAUUUGCGCCCGAUAAAAAUUACAUAAUAAUCAUUAAACAAAUAUUGGCAUG